AACGAACGCUGGCGGCAGGCCUAACACAUGCAAGUCGAGCGGUCCUUUCGGGGUCAGCUGCGGACGGGUGAGUAACGCGUGGUAAUAUGCACUUCUCUACGGAAUAGUCCUGGGAAACUUAGGGUAAUACCGUGUACGCCCUUUGGGGGAAAUAUUUAGCGGGCGAGGAUGAGCCCGCGGUGGAUUAGGUAGUUUGGGGGGUGAGGUCCUACCCAGCCGACGAGCCAUAGCGGGUUUGAGCGGAUGAUCAGCCACACUGGGACUGCGACACGACGCAGACUUCGACAGGAGGCCGCAGUGGGCAAUCUCCGGAAGCGGCGACAACGCGGAUCGAGCGAUGCCGUGUGAGUUAUGAACGUCUUACGGUUAUAAAGCUCUUUCAGCUAGGAAGAUGAUGAGGGUACCAGCAGAAGAAGCGCCGGCUAACUCCGUG
rnacentral:rRNA from 1 species